UACAGAGGUCUCAAGCGUUGUUCGGAUUCAUUGGGCGUAAAGGGUGCGUAGGCGGCGCGGUAAGUCGGGUGUGAAAUCUCGGGGCUUAACUCCGAAACUGCAUUCGAUACUGCCGUGCUUGAGGACUGGAGAGGAGACUGGAAUUUACGGUGUAGCGGUGAAAUGCGUAGAUAUCGUAAGGAAGACCAGUGGCGAAGGCGGGUCUCUGGACAGUUCCUGACGCUGAGGCACGAAGGCCAGGGGAGCAAACGGGG
rnacentral:rRNA from 1 species